rnacentral:rRNA from 1 species
GAAACGAUAGCUAAUACCGCAUAAUAGUAGAUGUUGCAUGACAUUUGCUUAAAAGGUGCAAUUGCAUCACUACCAGAUGGACCUGCGUUGUAUUAGCUAGUUGGUGAGGUAACGGCUCACCAAGGCAACGAUACAUAGCCGACCUGAGAGGGUGAUCGGCCACAUUGGGACUGAGACACGGCCCAA